rnacentral:rRNA from 1 species
GACGAACGCUGGCGGCGUGCUUAACACAUGCAAGUCGAACGGAAAGGCCCUGCUUUCGUGGGGUGCUCGAGUGGCGAACGGGUGUGUAACACGUGAGUAACCUGCCCUUGACUUUGGGAUAACUUCAGGAAACUGGGGCUAAUACCUGAUAGCCGCUCCUGCUGCAUGGUGGGGUUUGGAAAGUUUCGGCGGUUGGGGAUGGACUCGCGGCUUAUCAGCUUGUUGGUGGGGUAGUGGCUUACCAAGGCUUUGACGGGUAGCCGGCCUGAGAGGGUGACCGGCGACAUGGGGACUGAGAUACGGCCCAGACUCCUACGGGAGGCAGCAGUGGGGAAUAUUGCACAAUGGGCGGAAGCCUGAUGCAGCAACGCCGCGUGCGGGAUGACGGCCUUCGGGUUGUAAACCGCUUUCGCCUGUGACGAAGCGGGAGUGACGGUAAUGGGUAAAGAAGCACCGGCUAACUACGUG